rnacentral:rRNA from 1 species
UACGUAGGGUGCAAGCGUUAAUCGGAAUUACUGGGCGUAAAGCGUGCGCAGGCGGUUGUGGAAGACCGCUGGGAAAUCCCCGGGCUUAACCUGGGAAUGGCAUUGGUGACUGCACGGCUAGAGUGUGUCAGAGGGGGGUAGAAUUCCACGUGUAGCAGUGAAAUGCGUAGAGAUGUGGAGGAAUACCGAUGGCGAAGGCAGCCCCCUGGGAUAACACUGACGCUCAUGCACGAAAGCGUGGGGAGCAAACAGG